GACGAACGCUGGCGGCGUGCCUAAUACAUGCAAGUCGAACGAGAGCGACCGGUGCUUGCACUGGUCAAUCUAGUGGCGAACGGGUGAGUAACACGUGGGUAACCUGCCCAUCAGAGGGGGAUAACAUCCGGAAACGGAUGCUAAAACCGCAUAGGUCUUCGAACCGCAUGGUUUGAAGAGGAAAAGAGGCGCAAGCUUCUGCUGAUGGAUGGACCCGCGGUGCAUUAGCUAGUUGGUGAGGUAACGGCUCACCAAGGCCGUGAUGCAUAGCCGACCUGAGAGGGUGAUCGGCCACAUUGGGACUGAGACACGGCCCAAACUCCUACGGGAGGCAGCAGUAGGGAAUCUUCCGCAAUGGACGCAAGUCUGACGGAGCAACGCCGCGUGAGUGAAGAAGGUUUUCGGAUCGUAAAACUCUGUUGUUAGAGAAGAACAAGUGCUAGAGUAACUGUUAGCGCCUUGACGGUAUCUAACCGGAAAGCCACGGCUAACUACGUG
rnacentral:rRNA from 1 species